rnacentral:rRNA from 1 species
UAGUAACUGCGAGUGAAGCGGGAAAAGCUCAAAUUUAAAAUCUGGCAGUCUUUGGCUGUCCGAAUUGUAUUCUGGAGAAGCGUCUUCCGCGCUGGACCGUGUACAAGUCUCUUGGAAUAGAGCGUCAUAGAGGGUGAGAAUCCCGUCUUUGACACGGACUACCAGUGCUUUGUGAUGCGCUCUCAAAGAGUCGAGUUGUUUGGGAAUGCAGCUCAAAAUGGGUGGUGAAUUCCAUCUAAAGCUAAAUAUUGGCGAGAGACCGAUAGCGAACAAGUACCGUGAGGGAAAGAUGAAAAGCACUUUGGAAAGAGAGUUAAACAGUACGUGAAAUUGCUGAAAGGGAAACGCUUGAAGUCAGUCGCGUCAUCCAGAACUCAGCCUGGCUUCUGCCUGGUGUACUUUCUGGUUGACGGGCCAGCAUCAGUUUUGACCGCUGGAAAAAGGCCAUGGGAAUGUGGCACCUUCGGGUGUGUUAUAGCCUGUGGUCAUAUACAGCGGUUGGGACUGAGGACCGCAGCACGCCUUUAUGGUUGGGGUUCGCCCACAUUCGUGCUUAGGAUGCUGGCGUAAUGGCUUUAAACGACCCGUCUUGAAACACGGACCAAGGAGUCUAACAUGCCUGCGAGUGUUUGGGUGGAAAACCCGAGCGCACAAUGAAAGUGAAAGUUGGGAUCCCUGUCGUGGGGAGCACCGACGCCCGGACCAGACCUUUUGUGACGGAUCCGCGGUAGAGCAUGUAUGUUGGGACCCGAAAGAUGGUGAACUAUGCCUGAAUAGGGUGAAGCCAGAGGAAACUCUGGUGGAGGCUCGUAGCGAUUCUGACGUGCAAAUCGAUCGUCAAAUUUGGGUAUAGGGGCGAAAGACUAAUCG